rnacentral:misc_RNA from 1 species
UAGGGUCUUUCGACUGCCCAAACCCAACUGUGAACUCGUCUCCUUUGGGAGAAAUCAGAUAUUCGCAAUGCUUCGGCGGGUCGCUCGCUGGGGGAGCCUCGGGUUAGCGGAGACGCGCCGGCUCGCCGAAGGUAUGCGGAACCAAAUUCUUGAGCAACUUUCAGAGGGUUUUACUUUCCGUAACGGAAAAAAAUCACUCA